rnacentral:lncRNA from 1 species
UUUGAUCCAAUAUAAGUUUAACUCCACUAUACUAGAGAGAGUAUCCCUCUCUGACUCUCUAGUAUCUUCUCUAAUUUAGGAAACUUUCUUAAAAUCAAUAUUAAAUGUAAAUGAAUAAAUAACAUUUACACAUGAUUCACCACUGUAUACAUAAUAUGAAUAGAAAAACAAGUGUAUCAUAUAGAGGUAUUGAAAGGAAAUUCCUUGCCACUUUUUCAAACAAGUAGUGUGGAAAUACUUACACGUUCAGAGUAAGUUUUCAUGUGUUGCAAAGAACAAAGUACAUAUGAGUCUGUGCUU